UUAUAAAGGACUGUGCAGUGCGCCUGCAACAGAUGCCCCACAUGGGUUCAUUGAAAGAAGGGAAAAGCAAAUGAGAAAAUCUAUCAUCAUUUCAUCUGCUACCAGAAGGACUAGGUGUGAUUCAUCAUUCCACAGCAAGAAGGAGAACGUUUGCUCCAGCUGUCUUCACCAAGGUUGCCCGCCAGUGAGGGCUUCAGUCUGUUUCCAUGGAGCAGACUAGGCUUUUGGUUAGGGUGCUGCAGCUCUAUUUAGCAUGUUAGGCUAUCAGCUAUUUGUAAGCAAUCCACAUGCAUUAUCUUUCCCAUCGUUCAUAAUUAAACUCCUCACCACGGAAACUGUAGCACAAAGAGUCUCUGAUCUUGCAUCCAGAUUCCAAGUAUUUCUACCCAUGUGGAAACGCCUAUCAGGACUCAGUCCAGAUUUCUACUAGCAGAGGGAUAGCUGCCGUUAUUGGGGACUGACUGCACGUUAGUAUUAGGUUUGAUCUUCACCUGAGCCACUCUUAUUCCCCAUGGCCCUCUGAUUCUCUGUCGAAGUGCAUGGCAACAAACGAUACCAGUCAGAGCGCAGCCUGAGAAGCAGAACCACUAGGAGGGAUGUGAAGUAAGGGAUUGCUUACAGGGACUUGGUCCUAUGCCCUUGGGGCAGCUGGUCAGCAGCUCCUGUAUGUCUGUUUAUUCCACAUCUGAUGCUGCACCUGCAGUCAGCAGGGCUACAGCUCGCAGUA